UACGUAGGGACCAAGCGUUGUCCGGAAUCAUUGGGCGUAAAGCGCGCGUAGGUGGCCAUUUAAGUCCGCUGUGAAAGUCAGAGGCUCAACCUUUGAAAGCCGGUGGAUACUGGAUGGCUAGAGUACGGAAGAGGCGAGUGGAAUUCCUGGUGUAGCGGUGGAAUGCGCAGAUAUCAGGAGGAACACCGGUGGCGAAGGCGGUUCUCUGGGCAUGUCCUGACGCUGAGGAGCGAAAGUGUGGGGAGCGAACAGG
rnacentral:rRNA from 1 species